rnacentral:rRNA from 1 species
GAUGAACGCUGGCGGCGUGCCUAAUACAUGCAAGUCGAGCGAACAGACGAGGAGCUUGCUCCUCUGACGUUAGCGGCGGACGGGUGAGUAACACGUGGAUAACCUACCUAUAAGACUGGGAUAACUUCGGGAAACCGGAGCUAAUACCGGAUAAUAUAUUGAACCGCAUGGUUCAAUAGUGAAAGACGGUUUUGCUGUCACUUAUAGAUGGAUCCGCGCCGCAUUAGCUAGUUGGUAAGGUAACGGCUUACCAAGGCGACGAUGCGUAGCCGACCUGAGAGGGUGAUCGGCCAAACUGGAACUGAGACACGGUCCAGACUCCUACGGGAGGCAGCAGUAGGGAAUCUUCCGCAAUGGGCGAAAGCCUGACGGAGCAACGCCGCGUGAGUGAUGAAGGUCUUCGGAUCGUAAAACUCUGUUAUUAGGGAAGAACAAAUGUGUAAGUAACUAUGCACGUCUUGACGGUACCUAAGCAGAAAGCCACGGCUAACUACGU